rnacentral:rRNA from 1 species
UAGGGAAUCCUCCACAAUGGGCGAAAGCCUGAUGGAGCAACGCCGCGUGUGUGAUGAAGGGUUUCGGCUCGUAAAACACUGUUGUAAGAGAAGAAUGACAUUGAGAGUAACUGUUCAAUGUGUGACGGUAUCUUACCAGAAAGGAACGGCUAAAUACGUGCCAC